CUUCUCCUCCUCCUCCUCCUCGCCUACCGCGCACAGAGCCGGGCAGACAAAGGGGGGCGCGAGAGGGAGAGCGAGGGAGCUCCGCAGCCUCAAGGUCACUCGCUCCCCUCCCUGGCACAGCAGAGGGGAAAGAGGCGCGCGCGGGAACGAAGCUGCCCUCCUCCUACGCUGCCGCCGCCGAGCCCCCCAUUCCCAGUGCUGCCCUCUCCUCCUCCUCCUCCCCACACCCCGCGCCCCUCGCCUUGCCAGCCUUCUCGGCUUCCCGCCCCUUUCCCCACCCUGCCCGUUCCCGCUCGCUGCGUGCGCGCCCGGCGGGCUGCGUGAGGUUUGCCGGGAGCCCUUCAGGCGCGAAGCCACCACCAGCUCCUCAGCCCGCCGUCGCCGGCACUUGGGCGGCAGCGGCAGCCCGCCGUGGAGGGUCCCCUCGCGGCGCUGCUCGGCUCUUUCCUCGCCCGCCAACCCCCUUUCCUCAGCCGGGGUGCUCCGGGCUUUUGGGGGACACCAUGCCGGGGGCGCCGACGGCUCCCGGGUCCCCACCGCUGCCCGGCCACCGCCAGCCCCGGCGCGACCGCGCGGGGGGCGCUCGUCGGCUCUCGGUGGCGGGAUAAUGUGCCGUCUUCGCCGCCGCGCCUGCUGGUCGCCCACCCGAGAAGCCCCGAGUCGCCGCCAUGUCCCCCCCAGCCUCGGCGGCCGCGGCCAGCAGCAGCGAGAGAGGCAGCAGCGCCUCGGUGCCUCCGGAGGAGGCGGAGGGGGCCCGAGAGGAGCAACGGCCUGUGAAGCAGUCGCUCAGCAAGUCGCUCUGUAGGGAGUCACACUGGAAGUGCCUGGUGCUCUCCCUCCUCAUGUACGGCUGCAUGGGAGCCAUGACCUGGUGCCAUGUGACGAAGGUGACCCGGCUGACCUUUGACAGCGCCUACAAGGGAAAGUCCAUGAUGUACCAUGACAGCCCCUGCUCCAAUGGCUACGUCUACAUCCCCUUGGCCUUCCUGGUGAUGCUCUACGUGGUCUACCUGGUGGAAUGCUGGCACUGCUACACCCGCAAUGAGCUCCAGUACAAGGUGGACGUGGAGAGCGUUCACGAGCGUGUCCAGAGGAUGCAGCAGGCCACCCCCUGCAUCUGGUGGAAAGCCAUCAGCUACCACUACGUCAGGAGGACUCGCCAAGUCACCCGCUACCGCAACGGGGACGCGUAUACCACCACCCAAGUGUACCACGAAAGGGUCAACACCCACGUGGCAGAAGCAGAGUUUGACUAUUCCAAUUGCGGGGUGAAGGACAUCUCGAAGGACCUGAUUGAUCUGGAGAACUUCCCAGCCACCCGGCUCCGCUUCACCAAGUGCUUCAGCUUUGCCAACGUGGAAUCUGAGAACUCCUAUCUGACCCAGAGGGCCCGCUUCUUCACAGAGAACGAGGGACUGGAUGACUAUAUGGAGGCAAGGGAAGGCAUGCAUCUUAAGAAUGUGGACUUCAAAGAGUACAUGGUGGCCUUCUCAGACCCAGACAACCUACCUUGGUACGUCUCCCACUAUGUCUUCUGGGUUGCUGCUCUCUUGACUUUGUCUUGGCCCUUGCGGGUCUUGAAUGAGUUCCGCACUUCCUACGUCCACUACCAUGUAGAGAAACUCUUUGGGUUUGAUUAUGUGGCAGUAACACCGGCUGAAGAGCGCCCUUUCUGCCGGAGGAUGCCCCGGGUCAACACGGUGGACAGCACUGAGCUGGAGUGGCAUAUCCGGUCCAACCAGCAGCUGGUGCCCAGCUACUCUGAGGCUGUCCUCAUGGACUUGGUAGGACUGUCUAGCUGCACUACCUACUCCUCCUGCCGCUAUGGGAGCUACAGACAGAACUGUGAGCAGUGCCACAGGACUAUAAGCAGUUCUUCCAUCUUCUCCCGCAGUGCUCUCAGCAUCUGCAAUGGCAGCCCCAGAAUCCCCUUCAGCAGCAGCCGCUUCUCACUGAGCCGUCUCUAUGGCUCACGGCGCAGCUGCCUUUGGCAGAGCCGGAGUGGGAGCCUGAACGAGCAGAGCUGCCCAACUGAACAGACCCGCCUGUCCAGCCAAGUCACUGUGGAGGAGGAAGACCCUCCUCCUUACCAGGACGCCCUCUACUUCCCCAUCCUCAUCGUGCACCGAAACGAGGGCUGCCUCAACCAUGACCACCGCCAUCUCCAUCGGAAUGGAUCCUGCGUGGAGACCUCGCUGUGAGGGCAGGAAAAGUACCUACAGGAGAAGUGCCAUGUGCCCAGAUGUGGGGAGGUGUUUUUUUUUGGGGGGGGCAAGCAGAUAAAAAGAGAGGUCCUAACACAUCCCAUGUGAAUCAGAGAGAAUGGCUCCCUCUUAUCAUCCCACAAAGGACUCAACAGCUCCUGAGCUCUGUUCUGGCUCUGUAAUGGCUUUGAUGUGAGGUGGGCAGCUAACACCACCAUCAAAACUACUGCACAGAACUAAACACUGACAGCCACAUGCAAAAAACAAAAAAAUCUGAAGGGAAGGGCAGUAACAGCCCAAGUAUUGGGUGUGUAUGUCUUUCUUCCUAGCCUCUAGCUAACCAGGCCACCUUGACAAUAUCUGUCUAGCAGGAGCAGUCCCUGCCCCAUAAUUAUGAUUAUUAUUGUGGGGAGGGGACGUCAUCCAAUCUUUGUAGAGUCACACACUUUGGCAGUUGAAUUCAUGGCAGUGUAGCAUGUUUCCUUCAGAAGCAAGGCAAUUAACUGCACUGGUUUCCCAGGCAAAAGGAGCUGAGAAAUAACUGAGAAGCAACUACAAGCCAGGCCGCCUUCCUUUUUCUAAACCAUGCUCCGACUGUUACGCUGUUCUCAGCUGCUGGGGACGCGAGAUCUUAGGAUGUCUCCUUGGAAAGCCUUGAUGUUUCACGUCUGAGAAUCAGCAUCCCAUAGUCUGUGACCACACUAUAUGAAGAAAGAAGGUGUGCUGUGCCCAUGAAUUUAAUCUUCCCAGUGCCAUCAGAAAGAAUACAGUUCUGAAGGUUUGAGGCAUCUCUGAAAGAUAGGUCUUCCUAGCCAAGAUGUGGCUUUGCCACAAUCCAAGAUCUGAAAGAAGUCACUGUUUCUCAUAGCUUUCUCUUCUGUUCCUCUGCUCACAUUGCCUGUGGAGUUGCAUUAUUAAGGAGUCCCGCAGGAGGGGGUGGUGGAAUCUGCAAUCAGCAACAGUUUCUUCUGACUAAAUAACAUUUAGCCACCUAUACAACACUUCCAGGAACUGCUGAGGGUCUGUGAUCCCAUGUUGCUUUCCGGUGGGUGCCACUUUUAUCAAGCACAUUUCUGUUGUAAGCACAACUUUCACAUUUUUGCUUUGCCUGAAAAAGUUUGUUUUUUUAAUGUCCACCCUAAGUAUACGAGUAGAAAUGCUCUUUCUGAAUCAAAUCACACAUUCUUGGGACUCUGGUAAUUUUGUGGAUCACCCACUGUGAUUUUAUUUUUGUAUACUGGUUUGUAAAAUGAAGGGGAGGGGGAGGGAACCCACACGUACACUUGGAAAGUCAUUUUUCAUCAGUGCAAGAUGUUUCUACCACAGUCAUAGCUGCUCACUUAAGGGGGGGUGGAGAAUAUAGGUAGAAUGUGUCCAGAUGAUUUAGUAUCCAUAUCACUUACACAAUUCAAAUAAUCCCUAGCGGCACUGUCAGCUGAUGGCUAAUGAGGCCUGAUGUUGGACGGCAUCCCAUUAAUCAAUCAAGGUAAAAAAUGCUUAUUUAUUUAUUUUAAAAAGCUGGCCUAGACGCACAAAUGAGUCUCCGGAGGCAAGAGAAGCAUAUUCAUAGGACCAGGUGAUAAAAGGUGCAUUCUGUCCCCUUUCAAAAUAAUACGAGAUGAUUUAGUGUUUUGCUUUUCUCUCUUGCUAAGCAACAAUAUUUCCCUGGUGCUGUGGGGGGAAAUGCACAAUGAGGUGCAUGUGAAUUAUAUAAAAGCUUUUCCACAUCAGCCUUUCAUGGUUCCACAACCAAAAGAAUUAGGCAGAUUGAAAAAGCUGCAACAAAACCCUCAUAAAAUAUUUUAAGUUUAAUGGGAAACGGCAUUUGGAAUGUUUUGUCCAGCUCCACUGAAUUUGCAAGGUGUCAACAAAGCAUAGCAAUUUAAAUUUGUUGUCUUGGAGGCAUUUCAUAUGGAUGUUGCAAUGCAAAGUAGACAUGCAUGGCUGACAUUUAUUUUAGGAAUUUGCAGAGGAUAAAAUGUCCUCAGACACACUGGAUUAAAAAAACAAAACAAAACAUCUUCUGCCUUGGUGCGAGUUCUGAGCCACCUAUUUCUUUUACUGCAUCUAUUUGUUCCUGUGAACGGAAAUGCUGCCUGUUGUUUUUGCUAAAGGUGCUGUGAGAUCAUUACGGUUUGCACAAACAGAGGACGUUCUGCUGUUUUACAUUCACCACAAACUGGGACAGCGCCAUAACCAUGAAGAUAAAAUAUGUUUUAUACGUUAGAGAUCUGUAAUGCUCUGGAGUCUAAAAUGGUAGAAUACUGUUUAACCUUCGCCAGAAUCCAAUACCAAAGCUUCCUUGCCGGAUAAAAUAACGUGCUCACUUAUAGAAAUUCAGUUUCUGAGUCAUAAUUCUAGAACAGCAACACAAAUCAUCAACCUGGUAGUAGAGGUCCAAACUAAAGAACUAGCUGCUAAUCUGGUUUAUUUGUUCUGAUAACAGAACUUGGGUUUGUUUGUAGAUUUGAUGCAGGCUGCGCACAGUUCUGAUCAUAACUACUCUUUCUGAUUUAAAUUGUCAUCUCUAUUGAUUUCGUGUUUAACAUCUCCAUUAAUUGUGUGUGUGUGUGUAACACAUUUAUAUCCUGGUCUUUCUUCAAAGAGCCCAAGGUAGCAAAAAUCAGCAUACCCAAUUUUGUCCUCACAACAACCCUGUUGUCCCACAGCCAAAUGCAAAAAUCUUUCUCAAAGAAAUAACUCCUUUUCUUCCACUUCACCUUAAUAACAUUUCAUUCAUUUUCUAAUUCAUUUAAAUGCCGAAGCAGCUUCUCCUCACUUAAACUUGUUGCCAUGGAAAUGACUGGCAGGUCUUUGCUGUCUGUAGGUGAACAGACAAACAUAACAGGACACUUGUCUUCCUCGCCUCCCUAUGACUGCUAUCCCGUGUUACCUCCCUCCCUAGCAGGCAAGGCGUACAGAAAGGUGGGUCAAUGCACACAUAUUUCAGCAGCAAAAAUGUGUCACACACAAGCACACACACACACACACACACACAGAGAGAGAGAGAGGUUGCAAGAAGCACCAGGACAGAAUUGGAGGCCUCCCUUUAUAAUAAACAGGGUAGAGCAGCUGAGAGGAAUAAUAAUUAUGUGCAGAGCUUCUUAAUGAAACCUCUCAGGCGAACUAACAGGUAGGGUUGGAUUAAAGCUAGCUUAAUGCACCUGGAUUGGUGCUCAUACAAUAUUUUAUCCCUUGGUCACUGUAUCUUAAACUACCUGUUGUUACUUGGAAUAUACCAGCUGUUAAAUAAUAUGGGGACAAGAAAAUGAGCCUAACAUACAACUAGUAUACAAUUGGGAAAUGGCCAUAAAAACGUAAUGCAUCCAGAAACCCAUUUAGCAUCACUAACUUGUAACCUCCCAAAUCCAUGUCAUUGCACUUAGAGGAAAAGCUAAGAGAUGGAGCCAUUGCGUGGGAAAUGGCCCUUCUGUCAUAUGCAUUCAGUUCAGAAAAGCAGAAGCCGAGUUUGCAAUUUUAUAUGGAAACUACGUACAUGUCUGACAACCCGAGUUGAAGACUUGCAUUUUCUGCCCUAUCUUCAGAGUUCAAAAGUCUGAAAAGGCUAACAAACAACUUUGUUAAGCUACACCUCGGGGAGGAAGGCUGGCAGGUUGAUAGCUCACCCUACCUUUGUUGCUUUGCUAUACAGCACAGGUGGGCAAUCGCCUGAAGCCCCUAAACCUUACUUUCUGUUGCUUCCAGUACUUCUUGAAGCUGCCCUAUUCUGAUUUGGAGCAUCUUUCUCCCUCUUUUUGUGUAGUUGCAGAACAAUUGGAAGGAGUCCUAUCUGAUAAAAAUUGAAGUUGGGCAGUUUUUGUUUCACUUUUUCAUGGUUGUAUGGCUUGAGGAAAAGAAUCUACCCUGGCUGCCUGAGAAAUCGAUUUCUGCCAUGUGCAGUACACUAAAAUCAGAAAGGAAAUACUCUUGUCCUCCAGAACAGUAGCUGUUGGGUGUUCUGGGUUAAAAAAAUAUAAAUCCUCCACAUACUUAUUUGAGAAUAACCCCGUCAGCCCCAAAGGAACACAGGGAAUUUAGUCUGAUGUAGCUGUGAUGAAAAUUGAAGCAGAAGAGUCAGUAUUCUGGAUUGGUUUAUCCAGAACUCUUUUGUCUCUGGUUCCCCCAGUACUAGCAUGUGACUCCAACAGAUUACCUCCAAGGAGAUGCUGUCUCCAAGAAGAUGACCCAUCCCUGUUGUACACCAUAAAAUCGGUCUUGGCCAACUGGUGCCCUCCAGAUGUUUUGAACUACAACUCCCACCAACUCCAGCCAGCAUUGCGUGCUAGCUGUGACUAGUGGGAGUUGUAGUCCAAAACAUCAGGACAGCACCUGGUUGGCAAAGUCUGCCAUGAACCAUACACAGAGAAAAGCUAAGUAUUGGGAAGAAAAGGAAGAAUACCCAUUCUAGUUAGCAGCUGACAAUUAACCCUGAUUUGUAACGAUCACCUGGCUAGUUGGCCUAUGUUUUCAGCAUUUCUUGAGACUCACAACAUCUCUUGGGAUCAGAAAAGCUUCCCCAAGCCUUUGGGGGGGGGAUAUGCAUGUGUCAGCCAUUUUGUUUUUCCUUGUUUUUUAUAGAGCAGCCAUUUAUAGAUCAUGCUCAAUAAGCUGGGAACAACUCAUAGGGCAGCAGCUUCCAGAUGUUACAAUACUGGCCUGUGACACCCCAUCAGUGUUGAGCUAGAGAUUCAACAGCAUAAAGCUUAAGAAUGUUUUGGAGGUGUUUUAAGCUUUAUCUGUUUCAGUUGGCUCUCAGGAGUUAGCACAAAGAUGAGAGCCUUUAGCAGUAUUUACUGAAUGUCAUAUUGAAUUAUAUUGUGGGUUUUUAAAAUUCUCUUUUAAAAUUCUGUAUGCUUUUAAAUUGGUAGUCAACCUAAGCCUUCAAGGCUAUAAAUCUAAAGUAUUCACAGCAGCACUGUAAAGUAGUUUUUUAUUAUUCCCAUUUUUCAGAUAGAGAAGCUCAGGCAGAUAAUUAUUUCAUUUAUGUCUGCUAAUGACUGUGUAGCUGAAUAGCAUGAGAAGUCUCAAGACCACCCUCCAGUCACAGGGCAAGUUUGUUGGAGGGAAUUUAGGGAAUUCUUUUGGUUAGUUAUGUUUAAGCACCCAUAUGGAGCACUAACCCAUUCAGCCAUGUGACCUUAUCUAGCGCAGAUCAUCACCAGGACACUUCAACAAGCACUGCUUUUAUUUGACAUUUGUUGCAUGUUUUAGAGCAGGCAUCCCCAAACUCGGUCCUCCAGAUGUUUUGGGACUACAAUUCCCAUCAUCCCUGACCACUGGUCGUUAGCUAGGGAUGAUGGGAGUUGUAGUCCCAAAACAUCUGGAGGUCCGAGUUUGGGGGUGCCUGUUUUAGAGUCACAAUUAAGAGUCAAUUUUACUUUAUCUUCUCUGCACUCUGUGGAGGCAGGCUGCUUUGCAGACAUCAUACACAUUCAUUCUCAGAUUAAAAACAACCCCAAAGAAACUGAUCUCCAAUAGAUUGCAAGAAGCUGUGCUUACCAUGAUUGACUGAUUUGGGAUCUUGGGCCUUUUCCUGAGUGACUAAAAAGAUCUCUUAAUUCAAGUGUGCAAUUUAAGUAAUACAUUAUUUUGUAACUUCAACAAGCCAGCCUGCCUCAGGUCAAGAACUAGGUGGUCAGUGGCGAAUAUCUGAUGUUCUAGGUAUGUCUCAGGGGGAUAUUUUAUAGUUGCUGCCAUGGGCAUAUUUCUCAUGCUGCUGCAACUCCCUGUGGUUUAAACCACUGGAGCAAUCCACUCAUGGAUUAGGGAGGGGGGAAACACAAGCGUGUAAAGACUAUGGGGUGUUGUUGUUGACACCUCUAAGACAGCUGCUGCUGCUGCCACCCAAGAUAACCUCACACAAGUAUCCUUUCUGAUCUAUUACGGCCAAAACAUCAAGCAGCUAAAGCCCCUUUGGCCGAGGGGCACUGCAGGCAGCAGAGCCAUGGAUGGUGGACGUUUGUAUCCAUUGCCCACAAUGAGCAACAGCGGAGAUAAAUCCAGUUCUGACAAAACUUUUCUGUGAGCACUGAGAACAGUUUUUACUUUUCAAUAUGUCCGUACUAUCUAGUUCUGUUUGUCUCUCUCUAUGUAAAACGGUAUAUCACAAUGUUGCCUUUUUGUUGGAAAUAUCAAAAGUACAAAGAUUGUAAACCAAAUCGGUGUAAUAAAAGUUCCAGAUGAUUCACGAUG